AAGUGGUAGCAAUACCAUGAGUAAAGUGGCGCACGGGUGAGUAACACGUGACUAACCUACCCUGGAGUGGGGAAUAACUGAGGGAAACCUUAGCUAAUGCCGCAUAACACCUACGGGUCAAAGGAGCAAUUCGCUUCAGGAGGGGGUCGCGGCCGAUUAGUUAGUUGGCGGGGUAACGGCCCACCAAGACGAUGAUCGGUAUCCGGCCUGAGAGGGCGCAUGGACACACUGGAACUGAAACACGGUCCAGACUCCUACGGGAGGCAGCAGUGGGGAAUUUUGCGCAAUGGGGGAAACCCUGACGCAGCAACGCCGCGUGGAGGAUGAAGUACUUCGGU
rnacentral:rRNA from 1 species